UGAGGAAUAUUGGUCAAUGGGCGAGAGCCUGAACCAGCCAAGUAGCGUGCAGGAUGACGGCCCUAUGGGUUGUAAACUGCUUUUGUAUGGGGAUAAAGUCAAUCACGUGUGAUUGUUUGCAGGUACCAUACGAAUAAGGACCGGCUAGUUCCGUGCCAGCAGCCGCGGUAAUACGGAAGGUCCGGGCGUUAUCCGGAUUUAUUGGGUUUAAAGGGAGCGUAGGCCGGAGAUUAAGUGUGUUGUGAAAUGUAGACGCUCAACGUCUGACUUGCAGCGCAUACUGGUUUCCUUGAGUACGCACAACGUUGGCGGAAUUCGUCGUGUAAGCGGUGAAAUGCUUAGAUAUGACGAAGAACUCCGAUUGCGAAGGCAGCUGACGGGAGCGCAACUGACGCUUAAGCUCGAAGGUGCGGGUAUCGAACAGGAUUAGAUACCCUGGUAGUCCGCACAGUAAACGAUGGAUGCCCGCUGUUGGUACCUGGUAUCAGCGGCUAAGCGAAAGCAUUAAGCAUCCCACCUGGGGAGUACGCCGGCAACGGUG
rnacentral:rRNA from 1 species